CCCCUCCACAGAAGGCCAGAAGCAGGGAGAGAAACUGCGGCGCUUCCCCAGCGGGAGCAGCAGGGGUGGGCAGGACGAGUCCCACCACAGGCGGGCACCGGGAGCAGUGCCAGGACACAGGGGAGGAGAAGAGGGUGCAGGAGAUCAAAGGCAUGGAGAGGGUUCAAGGGAGACAAAGAGGCAAACAAGAAAGAGCUGCCCAGCUGAAGAAGGCCGUGUCUGGGCUCCGCUGAUUCUGCAACUGAACGACGUCUCCUGGGUCCUAGUGCCAGUCGUUUUCCCCUUCUGUGUGCUGGAAGCCUUCCUGUUUUCUGUGCAAAAAAUUCCCUCUGGAGUAAUAGGAGAGACCUGGUUUCCAUUCCCAGCUAUCCUGAAAUGACUGCAUGAAACCUCUCAGUUAACUUACUUGUAAAACAGGGGAAUGAUACCUGAGUGCUUUUUAUGGCAGGAGCCUUUGCUCAGUAAUAAAAGAUCACAAGUGCAUAGAAAUAUAACAGUAGUCGGUAGAGAGGAGAUCAGAACUCCUGGCUCCCAACUCAGUGCACUUUUCCCUAGGCUGCUUGGGGGGAUUUUUCUUCUCUCACUCAUCUGUGGAACAUCGCUCAGCUUGGUGCGAAGUAGAACAGGCAGUGUGAUUUUUUGCAAAGAUGUGGAACAUCCCACAAAACAUAGUAAACAAAUUUUUCAGCUAGUUCACCAUUGCCAUAUCAUCCUGCUCCUCUCACCUAUUUACAUUACCUAUCCAAACUUAAUGUAGACCCCUAAAAUUUGCAAAACUACAUGCAAAAGUGAAAACAAAUUAGUAGAUUACAGAAUGUAAUUUCCUAUUCAAGGGAUCAAUUUCCACUAUACUUUACAUAUACUACUACUACCUUACUCACUAUAAAACACUACAUGUUAUUCCCCUCUUUGCCAAAGAGUAGCUGAAUUCCUGGCAUAGCAAGUCAGUUUCCCUCGUGGAACAGAAAUUGGUGAUAUGGAGUCAGGUAUUUGUUUGGUGUAAUUUAUUUACAAAUACACAAGUCCAGUUCCUUCAAACAAGGGUGAUAACAAAUGGCACACAGGCAACUCCCUUUAGCAGAAAUCUCUUAUAAGGCCUAAAUAGGGUGACCAGAUAGCAAAUGUGAAAAAUCGGGACGGGGGUAGGGGGAAAUAGGAGCCUAUAUAAGAAAAAGACCCAAAAAUUGGGACUGUCCCUAUAAAAUCGGGACAUCUGAUCACCCUAGUUUUAACCCACGUAAGGGGUCAAGAGCA